ensembl:lncRNA
GUAUACAGUGUGUGUGUGAGUGUGUGAGUAUACAGUGUGUGUGUGUAUGGGUGAGUAUACAGUGUGUGUGUUAGUGUGUGAGUAUACAGUGUGUGUGUUAGUGGGUGAGUAUACAGUGGUGUGUGUUAGUGGGUGAGUAUACAGUGUGUGUGUUAGUGUGUGAGUAUACAGUGUGUGUGUUAGUGUGUGAGUAUACAGUGUGUGUGUUAGUGGGUGAGUAUACAGUGUGUGUGUUAGUGUGUGGUAUAACAGUGUGUGUGUUAGUGUGUGAGUAUACAGUGUGUGUUAGUGGGUGAGUAUACAGUGUGUGUGAGUGUGUGAGUAUACAGUGUGUGUGUUAGUGGGUGAGUAUACAGUGUGUGUGUUAGUGGGUGAGUAUACAGUGUGUGUGAGUGUGUGAGUAUACAGUGUGUGUGUGAGUGUGUGAGUAUACAGUGU